rnacentral:lncRNA from 1 species
UGUGACCUCACUGGCACCAGUGUCGGACAAUCUCGAAAGGGGGGACCGUUCCUCACCCCAGGGCGCCCGGGGCGUGAUCCCCACGCGGCGUCAUUAGUCCAGGGAGCGGGCGCCUCGGCCCCGGGAAGGUGCACUUCCAGCCCGCUGCCCUGCCACGCCGAGUUUCCUCCUUUUUCCUGCCUUUGUUGCACAAAAAGCGACGGAGCCGCUAGUAGCGGGGAAAUCAUUCACCUUUUGCAGCUAUCAGAGAAACCGAGAAUGUAUGGAGCAGGGCGUGUCUAUCCACAACACCCUCAAGGCUGAAUACAGUUGGGGAGACCAGACGCUGCCAGACGUCACAUGCAUUUUUUUAAAGUUUCCCAGAAGUGCUUGGAUAUUUCUGCCCCUUAAUUCCCAUUCCUUGGGGAGUACAUUGAUGGGUUAAUAAAAAAUGCCUGCAGGUGGAGCUUGACCAAACACUUGUAGAUGCUGAACACUGGAAAAAUCCUGCAAGGAUUG